GGACUACGAUGAUGCCGUCCCUGCUGGACCGAUCCCUGAUAACGUGGAUGAGGAUGAAGCUGAGAAUUAUGAUGACGCCGUUAGAGCUGAUCAGAAGUCAGUUAUACUGACAGAGGACGUGUCCGAGAACUACGACGAUGCAGUUCCCACUGAAACGAGCACAAACAUCAUCACAGACAGUCCAGAAGAUUAUGAUGAUGUCAUCACUGAGGAACAGGAUGUAGGAGAGACAGAAAAAUAUGAUGACGUGGAGGAGAAAUCUCAGAAAGACAGGGAUCAUGUGACUGAGACACGCCACCAAAGGCCUUUUCUCAGGAAAUUACAUUUCAACUUUUAUAAACACAAAAAAUGAUUUUAUUAUACUUCCAAAAAUGCCCUGCUUUCUGAGCUGUGUUCAUUUCCCCCUAGUUAUUAGCAAAUAGAGUAGGAGAGUUAC
ensembl:lncRNA